AACAAAAAGUGUUUUUCUGCAUUGAAAUACAAUCAAAUAGUUAAGUAUUAAUUUUUAUCAAAAUUUUCAGGCUUUUUAUUGAUUAGAAAAGCUGAAAUAAACACAACAUUAUUUGGUUCAACUAUACAAAUCUAAUAACUUUAUUAAAUAGAGAAAGGGUCGCCCAACUCGGAUCAAACCCCAAAAAAAACCUAACCAUCUAUGACUUCUUCCUUAAGAUUAGGUUUCCUAAUCCGUCGCUCCUUCUUCUUCAUAUCUCCAUAAGACCUCCAUAUCUGAAAAAUGUUUUUCCUAUGGCCAAACGACAUUCUGCCUCCUUAAUUAAUUAUGUUGUGAAUGAUCAAUGUUCUUAAGAGGAAGAUCAUAAGAACAUCGAUUAGCCACAACAUUAGGAGGUUGAAGGCCCUGUUUGAUCAUAGAAUAAACAGUUUUAGAAGAAAAGUUUCUUGGAGAUACAAAGAGGAAGCAACGGCGGAUUAAUAAACCUAAUCUUAUGGAAGAUGUCUUAGAUGGUUAGGUUUUCUUGUUUAUAUAGGGAAUUUGUUUGGUCCGAGUUGGGCAACCUUUUCUCUAUUUAGUAAAGUAAUUAGAUAUGGGUGGUAGGCCCAAAUAAGUGAUGUUUUAUGUUUAUUUCGACAUUCCUAAUUAAUAAAAAGCAAUGGAAAUAUCAUUUUUUUUUGAAAAAAAAUUAAAUUAAAACCAUAAUUUAGGUUAAAAAAUAUGACUCUUCAUGAUUUUUUUUACUUAAUAAGCUCUUUUGAGUAUUUACUAGACACAUAAAUAAGCUUGUUUAAAAAAUAAAAAUAAUUUAUGAGCUAGUUUGAUAUGAUGGAGAAAGCUACAUAAAAUAUGUCUUUAUGGGUUAUUUUUAUAGAGUUGGUCUUUAUUGGGUUAUUGUUAUAAAUUCGUCUUUAUUGUAUAUUUAUCAUAAAUGUGUGUAUUUUUCUCCUUAAAAAUAACAUUUUAAGUAAAGAAAGACGGAGGAGAAUUUAUUAGGAAUAAUUACUAAAUUACAUAACUUUACUUUAUCUAUUCACAAUAUUUUCCUACUCUUUUAUUAGAAUUCAAAAAUUCCUUUUUUACACCCAAUGAUACUUAACUUACUUUUUAUGUUGGAAAUCAAAAUCGAAACUUUCCCAUCCCCAAAAAUUUCGCCCAAAUUUUUUUCCCCGUAAAGUAAAUUUUAAAUUCAAAAAAAUCCAAUCCCUAUUCAUCCGCUUUAGAGUUCAGAAUUGGUUUAUCAUCUUCUCCAUUUUUUUUCCAGAAUCGAAUGUUUCGAAGAUUUGAGUUCUAAAUCGUUGCAUGACCCUAUAAUCAUGACAAAUCCAACUUCUAGCAAGAGAUCUUCUUCAAAGAACAGACAUUCAUCAACUUCGAAAGACCCAAAACCCCCAAAGAAAAGUGGUAGAAAGGCGGCACCUUCGAUUAUUCGACCAACACUAUCUACGAAUAUGAUUAAUGUAAUUAAACAUAUUCCAAGGAAUGCUCUAAAGUUUGGUCCAUCUACAACACUAUUUAUAGAUUUCCAUUGGGUGCUGGUUGUGGUUGUUUUAAAGGAAACGUUUAUAAGAGUGUAUGACUCAUCUAUGGGGUCAAGGAAAAGAGUGCAUUCCGAAGAGAUAAAUCAGUUGUCUGUAAUGCUUCCAAACUAUCUACAUGAUAGUGGUUCCUUUGAUAAAACGGAAAGAAUUAAUUGAUUGUUAUUGGAGGCAUACAAAGACAAGGAAACGGGUGAACUGUUGGGUCCACAACAUUCCUUUGCAGUGGAAUAUGCAUAAGAUAUUAUGAAACAACAAAGCAAUAGCCUAUUAGUAUUGUAAAUCAAUUUAUUUACUUGGACAUUCAAUUCUUUUUUUAAUGUAUCUUCAUUUUGGCAGGGAUUGUGGAAUGUAUUUAGUUGCUUAUGCAGAACAUUUGAGUGACGAAAUCAACAUUCCAUCUGUUAGUUUUCAGACUGAAUAUUUUCGCAACAGAUACGGAACAUUGUUAUGAAAUUAUGGUAUGGACAAAUUCAAGACUAGAUAUAUUAGUGAUACCAAUGAUCCUGCAAGGCCAAAGAGUGGUUACACUACACAGGCAGAAGGGGGAUUGGUUAAUUUAGAGUAGUUAGGUUUAUAUUAUGUUGAAGUUAAGUUAAUUAGUAUUUUGUUUUAUAACUUGUCCUUCCGGCACAAUAUUAAUAAGUAGCUAUUAAUUUGAA